rnacentral:rRNA from 1 species
AGUGAACGCUGGCGGCAGGCCUAACACAUGCAAGUCGAGCGGCAGCGGGUCCUUCGUGAUGCCGGCGAGCGGCGGACGGGUGAGGAAUACAUCGGAAUCUGCCCUGUCGUGGGGUAUAACCUCGUGAAACUUAGGCUACUACCGCAUACGACCUACGGGUGCAAGCUGGGGAUCGCAAGACCUCGCGCGACAGGAUGAGCCGAUGUCCGAUUAGCUAGUUGGCGGGGUAAAGGCCCACCAAGGCGACGAUCGGUAGCUGGUCUGAGAGGAUGAUCAGCCACACUGGGACUGAGACACGGCCCAGAAUCCUACGGGAGGCAGCAGUGGGGAAUGUUGGACAAUGGGGGCAAGCAUGAUCAAGACAGGCCGCGUGGGUGAAGAAGGCCUUCGGGGUGUAAAGACCUUUUGUGGGGGAAGAAAGCGUCUGGGCUAAGACGCAGGGCGGAUGACGGUACCGGAAGAAUAAGCACCGGCUAACUUCGUG